GACGUAGGGUGCGAGCGUUGUCCGGGUUUAUUGGGCGUAAAGAGCUCGUAGGCGGCUCGUCGCGUCGACCGUGAAACCCCGCAGCUUAACUGCGGGCCUGCGGUUGAUACGGGCGGGCUAGAGUUCGGUAGGGGAGACUGGAAUUCCUGGUGUAGCGGUGAAAUGCGCAGAUAUCAGGAGGAACACCGAUGGCGAAGGCAGGUCUCUGGGCAUUAACUGACGCUGAGGAGCGAAAGCAUGGGGAGCGAACAGG
rnacentral:rRNA from 1 species